GUAGGUGGCAAGCGUUGUCCGGGAUUAUUGGGCGUAAAGCGCGCGCAGGCGGUUCUUUAAGUCUGAUGUGAAAGCCCACGGCUCAACCGUGGAGGGUCAUUGGAAACUGGAGAACUUGAGUACAGAAGAGGAAAGCGGAAUUCCACGUGUAGCGGUGAAAUGCGUAGAGAUGUGGAGGAACACCAGUGGCGAAGGCGGCUUUCUGGUCUGUAACUGACGCUGAGGCGCGAAAGCGUGGGGGAGCAAACAGGAUUAGAUACCCUGGUAGUCCACGCCGUAAACGAUGAGUGCUAAGUGUUAGGGGGUUUUCCGCCCCUUAGUGCUGCAGCUAACGCAUUAAGCACUCCGCCUGGGAGUACGGCCGCAAGGCUG
rnacentral:rRNA from 1 species